CCUACGGGUGGCAGCAGUGGGGAAUAUUGCACAAUGGGGGAAACCCUGAUGCAGCGACGCCGCGUGAGUGAAGAAGUAAUUCGUUAUGUAAAGCUCUAUCAGCAGGGAAGAAAAUGACGGUACCUGAGUAAGAAGCCCCGGCUAACUACGUGCCAGCAGCCGCGGUAAUACGUAGGGGGCAAGCGUUAUCCGGAUUUACUGGGUGGAAAGGGAGCGUAGACGGCAGUGCAAGUCUGGAGUGAAAGGCGGGGGCUCAACCCCCGGACUGCUCUGGAAACUGUACGGCUGGAGUGCAGGAGAGGUAAGUGGAAUUCCUAGUGUAGCGGUGAAAUGCGUAGAUAUUAGGAGGAACACCAGUGGCGAAGGCGGCUUACUGGACUGUAACUGACGUUGAGGCUCGAAAGUGUGGGUAUCAAACAGGAUUAGAUACCCCAGUAGUC
rnacentral:rRNA from 1 species